CACGACUCUCUCUGUGGCACGAGUGCUAUGCUGCCGUACACCUGUAAGAUAAGGAUAGAGAGAGAAAGAAACAGCGAAACUUUAGAGAGAGAAAGUGCUUUCCAUUUUCUUUAGAGAGAGAAAGUGAAAAGAGCGAGGAGAUCUGAUCGAAAUUUCUCAAAAGAUUACCGAGAGCGCCAAACCCUACUCUUCCUGUAAGCCCUAACUCGUCAACUAUCUCUUUCUUUCCCCUUCUCUCAUCCUAUAUUUCGUAGUUUAUGUCUGUAUUUGUGUGUGCGUUGGAGCUACGAUCGGUGGUUUUCGGGAAAAAGCCCUAAUUAGGUUUGUUCAUUUCUGUGGUGUGUGAAGGGAGAAAAAAGUGUUUAUUUGUUUGUUUAUUUUUCAUUGGGUUGGUGAAAUUGGGGUUUUUUUGUGAUUCUUUGGUGGAGAGCAAAACCCUAGGAGUGAAGGGAUUAUUGCAAUAUUUCGGGACUUGUGCUUUGAGGAGGUUAGGGUUUUGAAUGUAUGGCUUCGGGGCCUAUUGUUGGAGAUGGGCCUAGAGAGAGGCAGAGGUACACGGAGAGCAAGGUCUAUACUAGAAAAUCUUUUAAAGGACUCAAGAAAAACGCCGCCACCGCCACCGCCACCGAAACUGCCACCGACUCUGUGACUACAAACACCGAUGCCGCCGCUGUGGCCACCACCACCAACGAGGACGGCAACAACAAAGAUGAAAACAACAAGGACUGUAACGACGAGGAGAUAAAUAGGGACAACAAUGAUAAGAACGAGAGUAAAGAGUCUGCUGGGCCACCGGAACCAACGUUGUUAGCACCGGAGGGCGGGAAUUCGACCAAAAAACAGCUCCUUUCAAGGCUUGAUGCGGUGUCCAAUGACUCGUCGAAUCUCAACCGGCAACAGGAGCAAGAAAUUGCAGUGCCGGGCGAUCGGAAUGAGCCUUUGGGGAAUGGGGCGGUGAAGCCGGGAUUUGAGAAUAGGGUUAAGAUCAAUUUGGCGUCAGGAUCGAAGCAGGAGAUGAGGGGGCUUCGGAGAAAGUUAGAGAGUGAGCUGGAUAUGGUCAGGAGUUUGGUGAAGAAGAUUGAAGGCAAGCAGGGACAAAUUGCUGGAUAUAGUCACUCUCAUAUAUCGACUAAUGAUGGGGUGGACAAUGGUGGCAGUGGAGCCAAGCGAGUUCACUCAGAGGUGGCUUCUAUUGGUGUCGGUGUCAGUGUCCCUCGUGAGGUGAACAGGCCUUUGCACCAAUUGAGUAUAUCAGUGUUGGAGAAUAGUCAGGGUGUGAGUGAAAAUAUGGAGAAAGAGAAGCGAACGCCAAAGGCGAACCAGUUUUAUCGAAAUUCAGAGUUUUUGCUUGCGAAGGACAAGUUUCCGCCCGCAGAGAGUAACAAAAAGUCAAAGUCGAAUGGGAAGAAGCACGGUGGGGGAGAAUUGGGACAUGGGUUUUGGAUGGGUACCAAAUUUUUUAAGAGCUGCACUUCUUUGCUUGAGAAAUUGAUGAAGCACAAGCAUGGGUGGGUAUUUAAUACUCCUGUGGAUGUAGAAGGUCUUGGCUUGCACGAUUAUUUUACCAUUAUCAGGCAUCCAAUGGAUUUGGGUACUGUCAAAUCGAGGCUGAACAAGAAUUGGUACAAGUCUCCAAAGGAAUUCGCGGAGGAUGUGAGACUUACGUUUCGUAAUGCUAUGACCUAUAACCCAAAGGGGCAAGACGUUCAUAUAAUGGCGGAGCAGCUGUUGAAGAUAUUUGAGGACAGGUGGGCUAUAAUAGAGUCUGAUUAUAAUCGAGAGAUGAGGUAUGCAAUGGAUUAUGGGGUGGGCCUUCCUACACCUACGUCAAGAAAGGCUCCUCCAUUCCCACCACCUCCUCUUGAUAUGAGAAGGAUUUUGGAUAGGUCAGAGUCUAUGACUAACCCCAUCGAUGCCAAGUUGAAGCCCAUAAGUACAACUCCGGCUCGGACCCCUGCUCCUAAGAAGCCUAAGGCGAAAGAUCCCCAUAAAAGGGAUAUGACUUAUGAUGAAAAACAGAAGCUAAGCACAAACCUUCAGAAUUUACCUUCAGAUAAGCUUGAUGAAAUUGUACAGAUUAUUAAGAAGAGGAACACAGGGCUAUGCCAAGAUGAUGAGGAGAUUGAAGUAGACAUUGAUAGCGUGGAUGCUGAGACUCUCUGGGAGCUUGAUAGGUUUGUAACUAACUAUAAGAAGAGGUUGAGCAAGCACAAGAGAAAAGCUGAACUUGCUAUUCAAGCCCGAGCAAAAGCUGAGCAGAGUGUCCAGGAGAAGAUUCAGGUGUCAGCUGUGGCAGAGGUACCAAAUGAAAACCAAGCAGAUGAAAGAAAUGUUCCCACUUUGUCACCCAUACAAGGGGAAAAACAAGUGGGCAAUGGGAGUAGGUCAAGUAGUUCGAGCAGCUCUAGCAGUGAUUCUGGAUCCUCUUCUAGUGACUCUGAUAGUGACACUUCAUCAGCAUCUGGAUCCGAUGUCGGGUCACCAAGGACCUAAGCGCAUUGUGUAGGGAUUGUGAAGGCAUUGCAAGGAUGCAAAGCUGACAAUGAUUAUGUACUAGGUGGAACUAAGCUUUAGUUGUGAUUCCAUACAACUCCAGUUGUACCUAUGUCUAGUAUUUGGGGUAUGGUGCAUGUGAUCCAUGACUUUUGGACUAGAUGAUCUGCCGUGCAGUAAUUUGAAGCUUUCGAGAUGAUGGAUUUGAAUCACAUUUAGUGUACAGUGAAAGCAUUUUGAGGGCCAGAAGCCAUCUUUACCAUUGUGGGGGUGGGUGUUUAUUCCUUUUGGUUGCUAGAACUAUUGCUUCAUUAUCUACACAUGGUGCUAUUCGUCUAGUCUCAAAUUUGUAUAAUAUUUGUAGAAUAUGUUGAAAGUUAGAUGUAGUCGGUUUGUUUUUGUGGAGCAUAUGUACAUUUGCUAACUAACGGUGCUCAUCUAGAUUCAGCUACUUAUUUUCAGUUUAGUGCCGGUAGAGUCAGGAUUCUUUGGUGUUACACAAAAGACUUAAUAUGCUGUUAUUGGAGUUGAUGAAGUCAUAAUUGCUCCACAUACGUUUUCCCUCGGUGUUUGUUGGGUAGUUCGAUCUCUAUUGUCUUGUAAGAUUAGCUUCAUGCUUGCACUUA